UACGAAGGGGGCUAGCGUUGUUCGGAAUUACUGGGCGUAAAGCGCGCGCAGGCGGCUAUCCAAGUCAGUGGUGAAAGCCCGGAGCUCAACUCCGGAACUGCCAUUGAAACUGUUUAGCUUGAGUAUGAGAGAGGUGAGUGGAAUUCCCAGUGUAGAGGUGAAAUUCGUAGAUAUUAGGAAGAACACCGGUGGCGAAGGCGGCUCACUGGCUCAUUACUGACGCUCAGGCGCGACAGCGUGGGGAUCAAACAGG
rnacentral:rRNA from 1 species